CUCCUCUUAGGGUCGCACCUGGAGAAUUUCCAGCACUCUAACAGUCUCGACUACAGGAGGCAGAGUUAAGCAGAGGCAUAUUCAUUCCAUUCCUAGCAUGGGCAGUGGCUAGUGAGUGGAAGGCAAUCUGCUAUAAGU